rnacentral:tRNA from 1 species
UGAUCUUGGGCGGGCUCGAACCGCCGGCAUUCUAUGUGUUGGACAGAUGUGAUAACCACUACACCACGAGACC